UGCAGCCUCUGACGUUUUUGACAUUUGUUCAUUAUUUGGAAAUAUGUGUAAACAAAGUUCAAAAAUUAGUAAAUAAACGAAGCGCAGAAUGAAUAUUGAAUGGCGAUCAGCUGAUCCGAACUGAGUACUACAGUAAACAUGUAAAAUGUAGCGAUAGUAAGCUCCUGUCCAAUUUUCCGCAAUUUGCCCAACUCAUUCAGUAGAUGGGAAAUCGUUUGGGACCAUAGUUUUUGGCAUGAUUGACAUCAAUGUUUACAGACAGGAGCAGAAACCAAACAAUUGGCCCUCUAAAUAUUUGACUCAUCCAGCAAAUCAAGGUCAAUAUUACAUUGUGUUCCAUAGUGCGUACAAUAGAGAACUGGCUGCUAUCACAAACACAGACAAAAUUUAGUGAAUAUCGUGUAUUCCAAAUUCAAGAAAACAAUAAAGCUUAUAUUGAAGGG